rnacentral:rRNA from 1 species
GACGAACGCUGGCGGCGUGCUUAACACAUGCAAGUCGAACGGUGAAGCGCCUUCCUUUUUGGUGGGUGUGGAUGAGUGGCGAACGGGUGAGUAACACGUGAGUAACCUGCCCCCUUCUUCUGGAUAACCGCAUGAAAGUGUGGCUAAUACGGGAUAUUCUGGGUCUGUCGCAUGAUGGGUCUGGGAAAGAUAUUGUUUCGGUGGGGGAUGGGCUCGCGGCCUAUCAGCUUGUUGGUGGGGUGAUGGCCUACCAAGGCGGUGACGGGUAGCCGGCCUGAGAGGGUGGACGGUCACACUGGGACUGAGACACGGCCCAGACUCCUACGGGAGGCAGCAGUGGGGAAUAUUGCACAAUGGGCGCAAGCCUGAUGCAGCGACGCCGCGUGAAGGAUGGAGGCCUUCGGGUUGUGAACCUCUUUCGCCAGUGAAGCAGGCCUGCCUCGUUUGUGGGUGGGUUGACGGUAGCUGGAUAAGAAGCGCCGGCUAACUACGUG